rnacentral:lncRNA from 1 species
GGAAACUUAAAAGCAUUGUUUAAAUCCGAGUUGAAUCACGUUUAAGUUUAAAUAUUUUAUGUAUAAAUUAUUAUUAUUAUUAAUUAACUAGUAUGACAAUAAUUAUUAAUUAAGUGAUAAAAAUUUAAUAGAUAGAAGGAUUUUUUUCUUCUUAACUACGUUUUAGAGUAGUGGAGAUGAUGAUUUUUAUAAGUGGAAGAACCAGAUACCAUUUGCAUGCAUUAUAGAACAUGCUCCCAAUAACCCAGUCACUCAAGAUAAGAAAUGCCACACCUUGCAUUGAGAAGUUUCAUUCAUUCUCUGGAGAAGGAAGUUUUGCAAAUCUCUGUAAGAUAGCGUGUUGGUAUUGCCUAAAGAUCAGAAGACAGAAUACAUCAUGCAGAAAGGAGAACAAACGUGUAACCAAUUUGGCGACUAUAAGAUUAAAAAUAAUAAUAAUAAAUUCUCAAUUAUGCAUUUUCUUUUUGAAACAUUUUUUCCGUUAAUAUUGAAGUUAAUAUUGCGAUUUUUGAAUUUCCG